GCCUACGGGGGGCAGCAGUGAGGAAUAUUGGUCAAUGGGAGAGAUCCUGAACCAGCCAAGCCGCGUGAGGGAAGACGGCCCUAUGGGUUGUAAACCUCUUUUGUCGGAGAACAAAACCCGGGACGAGUCCCGGACUGCGUGUAUCCGAAGAAAAAGCAUCGGCUAACUCCGUGCCAGCAGCCGCGGUAAUACGGAGGAUGCGAGCGUUAUCCGGAUUUAUUGGGUUUAAAGGGUGCGUAGGCGGUCUGUUAAGUCAGCGGUAAAAUUGCGGGGCUCAACCCCGUCGAUCCGUUGAAACUGGCAGA
rnacentral:rRNA from 1 species